UGACGGAACGGGCCCCUCCGACCCGUCUAGUAACACGGACCAAGGAGUCUGACACGUGUGC
rnacentral:rRNA from 11 species